GGCCUCGUGGCUGAAAGAGGCUCUUAGAGGCCCUGAAAGUGGUUGGACAAACAUCUCAGUGGUGGAGAGCGGGCACUUCUGCCAGAGAUAUAGAUUCUAAUCCCGCAGCCUUGGAUGUGCCGUGUUGGUGCUCAUCAUCUUGUACCGCAACCCCAUGCCCGUCAGUCUGCUGGUCACUCUGGCAAUUGUGAAAUAUAUUCAGGCCCCUUUGAAAAACUGGGCCCUGUCAAUUAAGAACAUGAGUAUGAUACUCCAAACCCUGGAAACGUUUCAAGACAAUCUCCUGCCAUCUCAAUUUACUCCUGAGUAAGAGGAUUCUAAUGAAGUCACCAUGGGGAAAGGCGCUCUGGGAAGGAGGUGGGCUUCACCUUGGCGAUUUCUCUCCCAGCAAAAUGAAUACAAACAUCUAAUGUCAUGACCCCCCUCUGGUUCCACACAUGCAGCAUGUUUGACACUGUUAGCGGUCGUGGUGCGGGCCCGGAGUACUUCAGCAAGUAGAUUUAAAUGUCCUUUUGUGCCCAGAAUGAGGCCUCUGGUGGAGACGCUGCGGAAACCAGCGCUUCCGGGUGUGUCUGCGGGCGCGCGAGCUGUCAGUGCUGCCGGAAGCACCUGGAGAGGCAGCAGAAGUAGAAGUAUAAUUCUGGCCCUUGAGGAACUUAUGGUUGGGGAAGGAAGAUUCCAGGCACUGUAUGGAAUGAAGAAAGAAGGCAAACAAGGAAUGAUGACGUGAGCAGUGGCAGGCUCUGAUGAUUAUACAAUGCUGAUGGCGUUGAUGUUAGAAGUUGAGGGUGAGGAGGUUAAAUCGGAAGAGAAUUGGAGAAGAUACUGAGCUGCGGUUGAGAUGCCACUUGAGGAACUCUCAGGGUGUUGGUGCACACCAUGAGGUUAUUGAAGGACUGUUGCUGGUGAGAGGAGCUCAGCUGAGGAGAGGAAGGAGAGAGGAAAGGAAAAUGAUUGCAGGUUCUAGGUCCACUUUGAGGCCUGGGAGGGAUCUCUCUCCAUCCACCGUGUGCUGCAGGUGGACAAUUAGUCUCAGUAUUAACCAUCUUUAUCAAUUGGAUAUACCACUUUUUGGUUUACACAGUGCUUUUCUAUCCAUCAGCACACUCACAGAGGUGUAGCACGGUUUCUGUAAAAGGCAGUCAGCCUGGGAAUAGC